rnacentral:rRNA from 1 species
AUGGAAGGGGACGGCGAGACCUCGGCGGCGGAGGCGGCGCUCGGACUGAGCCCUCAGACCUUCAUCAACGAGGUCCUCAACUUCGUCGACGACGUCUGCUUCCAGGCCUUCGAGUACUGCCUCCAGGAAGGCGCCCCCACGGCGGUCGGCGCCGCCACGGCGACCAAUAAGGCCGAGGAGCUGAAACCGGGAGUAAAUGAAAUUCACCACUUGGUAAAGGAUGUAUUGGACAAGAGAAUGAACAAUUGGGAGAUGUAUUGCCUUCGGAAAUGUUUAACCGUACCUGAAGGAUUUGUGGCACCUGAAGAUGAUAAUUCUUCUGCAAUGGUGUUGCAUAAAGAUGGGAAUUCUGAUUCAGAACUGGAUGCAGAACUUAAUUCUUUGAGAAAAAAACUGGCAGAUGCUAACAAGGAAUCUGAAGAACUUCAAAGAGAAAUUUCUUCCUUGGAAAGGCAAACUACAUACAAGAGUAACCUCAAUUCCUCUAUAGCUGAAGUACUGAAGUUGUUUGAAGACAAAUCUGUUCAGGAGAAUAUACAAGCUAUUGCGAACACGAUACCAAAAUUGCACCAGAAAAUGAAGGUUAUGAAAAGGAAAAAGGUUGAGCUUGAGGCCAUGGUGGGCCAAAAUGUUUGGAACGUCAAUUGUCUUAGAGACCAGAAGCGUUUAGCACCGGGUUCCGCUCCUAGCACCGAGGACAUGCAAGAGGUGAACGCGGCUGUGAAUGACUCGUGGAAGGAGUAA